CCUAUACAUGACUCUGCGCAUAUCAAUAAGCGGAGGAAAAGAAACUAACAAGGAUUCCCUUAGUAACGGCGAGUGAAGCGGGAAGAGCUCAAAUUUGAAAUCUUCAAGGUUUUACCUUGACGAAUUGUAGUUUAAAGAAGUGUUUUCUGCUGAAGUUUUGGUAAAAGUUCUUUGGAAUAGGACAUCAUAGAGGGUGAGAAUCCCGUAUUUGACCAUUAUUUUCAGCUUUGUGAUACACUUUCAAAGAGUCGGAUUGUUUGGGAAUGCAGUCCAAAAUGGGUGGUAAAUUUCAUCUAAAGCUAAAUAUUGGCGAGAGACCGAUAGCGAACAAGUACCGUGAGGGAAAGAUGAAAAGAACUUUGAAAAGAGAGUUAAACAGUACGUGAAAUUGUCAAAAGGGAAGCGUUUGACACCAGCGUUGUUUUCUCGAAAAUCAAUUAAAAAUGGCUCGAUUUUGUAUUGCUUGAGACCUUAAAAGCUCACUGUACAUUUUUCGUGUCUUUUUUAAUGCACUUUUCGUUUAACAAGUCAACAUCAGUUUCUUUUGUUGUAAAAGGGUCAUUGGAAGGUGGCUUUCUUUUCGGAGAAAGUGUUUAUAGCCUUUGGCCUCUGCAAUCGGAGAGACUGAGGUCUGCAGCGUAGACUCUUCGGGGUUAGAUACAUUUGUGCUAGGUUAUAGCUUUUUAUAGACAACUUGUUGACUAUAAUUAGUCUUGUAGCUUACUCGCUUAUGCUAUUUUACCUACGCUUAGGAUGUUGACAGCAGUAUAGACUGU
rnacentral:rRNA from 1 species